AGUGAACGCUGGCGGUAGGCCUAACACAUGCAAGUCGAACGGCAGCACAGUAAGAGCUUGCUCUUACGGGUGGCGAGUGGCGGACGGGUGAGGAAUACAUCGGAAUCUACUUUUUCGUGGGGGAUAACGUAGGGAAACUUACGCUAAUACCGCAUACGACCUACGGGUGAAAGCAGGGGAUCUUCGGACCUUGCGCGAUUGAAUGAGCCGAUGUCGGAUUAGCUAGUUGGCGGGGUAAAGGCCCACCAAGGCGACGAUCCGUAGCUGGUCUGAGAGGAUGAUCAGCCACACUGAACUGAGACACGGUCCAGACUCCUACGGGAGGCAGCAGUGGGGAAUAUUGGACAAUGGGCGCAAGCCUGAUCCAGCCAUACCGCGUGGGUGAAGAAGGCCUUCGGGUUGUAAAGCCCUUUUGUUGGGAAAGAAAAGCAGCAGGUUAAUACCCCGCUGUUCUGACGGUACCCAAAGAAUAAGCACCGGCUAACUUCGUG
rnacentral:rRNA from 1 species